rnacentral:rRNA from 1 species
AUUGAACGCUGGCGGCAGGCCUAACACAUGCCAGUCGAGCGGAGCGGCGGACGGGUGAGUAAUGCUUAGGAAUCUGCCUGGUAGUGGUGGAUAACGUCCGGAAACGGGCGCUAAUACCGCAUACUAUCAGACGAGCCUAGGUCGGAUUCGCAAGUUGGUGGGGUAAAGGCCUACCAGGGCGACGAUCCGUACCUGGUCUGAGAGGAUGAUCAGUAAAGCUGGAACUGAGACACGGGCCAGACUCCUACGGGAGUAGGAAGUGGGGAAGAUUGGACAAUGGGCAAAAGCCUGAGCCAGCCAUGCGGCGGGUGUGAAGAAGGUCUUCGGAUUGUAAAGCACUUUAAGUUGGGAGGCGUUACCCGCAGAGAAAGCACCGGCUAACUCCGUGCCAGCAGCCGCGGUAAUAC